GUGGGGAAUAUUGGACAAUGGGCGCAAGCCUGACGCAGCCAUGCCGCGUGAAUGAUGAAGGUCUUAGGAUUGUAAAAUUCUUUCACCGGGGACGAUAAUGACGGUACCCGGAGAAGAAGCUCCGGCUAACUUCGUGCCAGCAGCCGCGGUAAUACGAAGGGGGCUAGCGUUGCUCGGAAUUACUGGGCGUAAAGGGCGCGUAGGCGGACAGCUUAGUCAGAGGUGAAAGCCCAGGGCUCAACCUUGGAAUUGCCUUUGAUACUGGCUGUCUUGAGUUUGGAGGAGGUGAGUGGAACUCCGAGUGGAGAGGUGAAAUUCGUAGAUAUUCGGAAGAACACCAGUGGCGAAGGCGACUCACUGGCCCAAUACUGACGCUGAGGCGCGAAAGCGUGGGGAGCAAACAGGAUUAGAAACCCGUGUAGUCC
rnacentral:rRNA from 1 species